AGAGUUUGAUCAUGGCUCAGAACGAACGUUAGCGGCGCGCUUAACACAUGCAAGUCGCACGAGAAAGGGCUUCGGCCCCAGUAAAGUGGCGCACGGGUGAGUAACACGUGGGUAAUCUUCCCUCGAGCGGGGGAUAACAUUCCGAAAGGAGUGCUAAUACCGCAUAAGACCACGACCUCGAAAGAGGUUGAGGUCAAAGCUGGCCUCUAUAUAUAAGCUAGCACUUGAGGAUGAGCCCGCGGCCCAUCAGCUAGUUGGCAGGGUAACGGCCUACCAAGGCUAAGACGGGUAGCUGGUCUGAGAGGAUGAUCAGCCACACUGGAACUGAGACACGGUCCAGACUCCUACGGGAGGCAGCAGUGGGGAAUCUUGCGCAAUGGGCGAAAGCCUGACGCAGCGACGCCGCGUGAGUGAUGAAGGCCUUCGGGUUGUAAAGCUCUGUGGGGAGAGACGAAUAAGUAGAAGCUAAUACCUUCUAUGAUGACGGUAUCUCCUUAGCAAGCACGGCUAACUCUGUGCCAGCAGCCGCGGUA
rnacentral:rRNA from 1 species